rnacentral:rRNA from 1 species
AAUACCGGAUAGUUUCGAGCAUCGCAUGAUGCUUGAUGGAAAGACGGUUUCGGCUGUCACUUACAGAUGGACCCGCGUCGAAUUAGCUAGUUGGUGACGGUAAUGGCUCACCAAGGCGACGAUGCGUAGCCGACCUGAGAGGGUGAUCGGCCACACUGGGACUGAUACACGGCCCAGACUCCUACGGGAGGCAGCAGUCGGGAAUCUUCGGC